CAGCCGCCGCGGUAAUACAGAGGGUGCGAGCGUUAAUCGGAUUUACUGGGCGUAAAGCGUGCGUAGGCGGCUUUUUAAGUCGGAUGUGAAAUCCCUGAGCUUAACUUAGGAAUUGCAUUCGAUACUGGGAAGCUAGAGUAUGGGAGAGGAUGGUAGAAUUCCAGGUGUAGCGGUGAAAUGCGUAGAGAUCUGGAGGAAUACCGAUGGCGAAGGCAGCCAUCUGGCCUAAUACUGACGCUGAGGUACGAAAGCAUGGGGAGCAAACAGGAUUAGAGACCCGAGUAGUCCCUGUCUCUUAUAA
rnacentral:rRNA from 1 species